AGGCCCUUCCUCCUCAGCCUGUACAGUCAUCACCGCUCUAUGCUGACCAGCUCUGAACAGUUCCUGGCAGCUUCCCUGCGGGACAGCUUCCCUGGUUGAUGCCCGUCGCUGGCCUAGCCGACUUUGGCUAGAGGGAGAGCAGCCUGGCCUCUGGAGAUGUGGUCCUGAGUCUGAGAGCCUGCCUAGCCUUGGGCCCCGCAGGAGAGCUUCCCCCCCCCAAAUAGCUCCACGUUCCUCUGCACCAGGAAAUGAUGUAUGUGAUACCUGGAAGAAAGGCGGCACCGCGAACUUGCAGCUAAGAUGCUCGCCUUCCACCUCUAUAUGUGAGACACGUGCACACAGCACCCACGGAGGGCAGAGGAGGAUGCUGGAUGCCCUGCAUCUGGAAGAUUGGGUGAUGGUGAGCUGCCUGGAGAGUGCUGGGAACUGAACCCCAGUUCUGGAUUUCUUGGAAGAGCUAGAAAUUCAGCAGCAGAGAACCCAUACCCUGCUUGGUGUCUGGCUGCAUGGAACUCUGGACCCUCUGGAACCUCUAGAUUCUCUGGACCCUCUGGACUCUCUGGACCCUCUGGACCCUCUGGACCCUCUGGACCCUCUGGAACCUCUGGAACCUCUGGACCCUUUGCACCUGCUUCACUGGGUGUGGGGCUCUCUUCCACACUCAUACUCAGUCCCAUAUUAUUUGGAUUUGCUGGUUUUCUUCUAGGCCACAUCCAUCAUUCAACCUUGGAGAGUGCACUCUAACCUGACACAGUGACCAUUUAGCAGAGCAGGGAAUGGCAGGAGCACAUUUACCCCUAUAGUUGGAUUCUCCUUGGCCCUACAAAACAUAAGAUAUGAUUGGUACCCAAAAACUGACCAGUGCAUCAGCCACACACAUACUAUGCUCUGUGUGUACCUGUGGUAUACAAAAUCUCUACAAAAAAAAAAAAACAACCCUUGAAAAUAAAGGGAAAAAAACAAAAGCAUUCGUUCCUUUCAACAUAGAUGUUCACAUUUGCAUUUUCUUAGGAUUUAUUUGGGUAAAGAUUCUGAAAGCCCCUUUCUGAGAUUCAGAUGAGGAAGAGAAAUCCUUCUCUUAGUUUGCAAAUAGGGAGAAAUGGAUUAACCACUUGAGAUAUAAAGUCAGGUGAUAUUGCCUUGGCUCGGCAGGAAUCCACCAAGAAAGGAAA